UUUCCUGGCCUCCCUUCCGUGACCUAUGACCGACGAUGACCUUUAGCCAGAGAAUGUGACAUUUUGUUCUCCUCCGGCUGACAUGUGAUGCCCUCAUUAUUCAAAGGUUUUAUUGAUAUCAUACCAAAAAGCUGGUUUCAGCUCUUGGCAAACUGGCAGCACAAGAGAAGGAUUUCCUGGAUGUCAUCUCCAUUCAAAUGCUGAUAAAGUGCAGCCAAAGCAGUUUAGACAAACAGCAGAUUUAAAUUUUUGCUGGAGAAGGGAACAACUGGACAAAAAACUACAGCCUCAGUGGAAUGGAGAAGUAAAACUGGAGAACUAUCAGCACCCAUGCUUAGUUCUUGGGACAAAACAGGAGAAAAAAAUACAUGUAACAUUCCUAUGGUCAAAACAUAAAUACAUAUAACUUGACUUUGCUGAGUGUG